UUUUACUUUAAAGCUGGUCGUCCAUUUUGAAUUAAUUCUUGUAUGUUGUGUGAGACUUGGGUUCAAAGGUCUUUCCCCCUCCUUUCGCUACCCACUUACCACAGCAUCCUUGUUAAAAAGGCUGUGAUUUCCGCCAUUGAAUGCCUUCUGCAUCUUAUCAGAAGUCAGCGGGGCGUACGGGAGAGUGAGCCUAUGCCUGGAUUCUCUGUUCUGUUCCACUGACCUGCAUGUUGUCUUCUUCCUGCCCUCCAGGGGCGAUGCAGCAUCGCACAGUCUUGAUUCAUGGUAACUGUCCUACACGUUUUGAAAGCAGGUGGAUGAAUUCGUCCAGCUUUACUCUUUUUUUUUCCCCCGUAAUUGUUUUGCUAUUAUAGUAGCUUUGCCUAUACAUAUAAUGUUAGAAUUUGAGAAUACUCUUGUCUAGAGCUACAAAAAACCUUGCUGGGACUUUAAUGGGAGUUGUGUUAGACCUAUGUGUCAAUCUGGGAGAACUGACAUUUUUGCUGUGUCGGAUCUUCCCAUCAUGACCAUACUUCUCUCCAUUUAUUUAGAUGUUCUUUGAUUUCUCUUGUCUGUGCUGUGAAGUUUCCAGCCUACAAGCCCUGAACAUGCAUUGUUAGAUUCUACCUAAACAUGUUAUGCUUUGAAUGACUGUAAAGAGCACUGUAUAUUUAGCUUUGAUGUUCCUGUGUUCCUUGCAAGUACAAGAAAUACAACAUUUACACACAAGUCCGUUGUAUCUUGUGAUUGGCGAGCUCACUAUUCGCUCUAAGAGUUUUUGGUAGUUUCCUUGUGAUUUCCUAUGUAGGCAAUCAUGCCAUCUGCAGGUAGGGACCAUUUUAUUCCUUCUUUUCUUAUGUGUAAGCUUCUAACUCAUUUUCUUGUGUAAAAUUGGUGUUCAUUCUUCUUUAAAUACUUGGUAUCAUUUUCACGUGAAACCACCUGUGCCUAGAGAUUUCUUUUUUCCAGGAGUUCUUGGGUGACGAAUUCGAUUUCCUCAGUAGUCACAGGAUUAGUCAUGUGAUCUAUUGCAUAGUGGGUGAGUUGCGGUAAUUUGUGUUUUUAGAUGAAAGGAAACAAUUUCUUAAAGUUGUCCAGUGUCUGUGUGUACAGUUGUCCCUCAUAGCCCUGUAUUAAUCCUUUUCACCCCCCGUUUCAUUCCUGACACUGUCUCUGUUUUUCCCUUGCCCAUCUUGCUGGAAGUUUGUCAAUUUUCUCAGUCUUUUUGAAGAACCAGCCCUUUCUUCUGUUGGCUUUCCAUGUUGGUUUUCUUUUUUUCUUUCAUUGAUUUCUGGUCUGUGGUGUCUCCUUCCUCUGCUUUCACUCCUGGUUUAUUUUGCUCUUCUUUUUCUAGGUUCUUGAGCUGGAAACUUAGAUUAUUGACUGGAGACUUUUGCAUUUGGCGCUAGGUUUGUAGGCUCCUCUCUCCAUCCCUGAUGUCCAGAAAGCUCCCGGUGUGACUAGGCGUUCCUCACUUGCUAUACUUGGCACUGUUCUGAAGAGCUCUACCACAUGUUCACUGAUGUAGUCCCUCACCCAGGAGGUGGGUGUUGUGAGUGACCUGACGUUGCUGGUCCAGGUCCCACUGCUGGGAUUUGAACCCAGGCCUUUGGCUGCAGAGCCCACGAUGUCUAGGGAGUGGCUGCUUCCCUCCAGGACCGGCUGGUCCUGAGCGGCCCUGUCACACUCGGGUGAGGCCCGGCCCCUGGCCGGAAGCUCUGUGUGCGGGGAGGUGGGGGUCUGCUCGUCGACUUGCUGGCCUCCACGUGGCGUUGGGAAGGGGUCCUGCAGGGGCUCUUCAGCGUUGCUGUCUGUAGGUUUCUCCUUUGUGAUGACGAGGUUCCUAAGGAGAAACCCUGGAAGAGGACGGGUCAGCCUGGUGAAGACUGGCUCCAGCGUGGAGAGCUGAGUGGAGAGAUGCAAUAUGUAGAUCUUCUCUUAAUCUCCUUGUUUCCACUGUGGCCCCUGUUCUUGCCUUGAGCUGUGGUUGGCAUUCAUGAGUUCAGGGACUUUCUGGUUCAGCUGCUCCCUGGAAGGUACUUGCCAUUUUCUGCCGCAUGACAGGGAGGAAUGUGGGCAAUCUAAGUGUUUCUUACAGACUUUCAACCCACCGUCCUGUUUUCCAGGCGUCCUCCACAGCCCGCCCUUCAGAGAGGCCUGGUACCCUGCACGGAGGCUUCCGGGUUUACGAGGCAUGGGGCGCACCCUCCCCCUCCCGCCGGUGCCCUCCCUGUGGGCAGCCUGCUUUCCGUUUCUCUGCCCUCCGACGGUUAGUUAUCCUUGGACGUCACUCUUCCUGCUUCCACCGUGUGUUGACAUUUUCGUCUUCUGUGAUGUUUCUUCUCUGCCCCUGUGGGUUUCUACAUUAAAAAAAUUAUAAUUCGAUUGGAGUUUUGGGGAGGAACUGAUAUAAAUGCAUGUUUAUCUGCCAUGUUUACUACUUUUAAAAGAAGGAAACACUUCAUCCUUAACAACAGCUCCAACCUAAGCAUGGAAACGAAGAUGUCUUGAAAAAUAAGGCACAGAAAUGACAGGUUUUCAGGAACAACACAGUGCCUGGCGUGUGGUAGCAAGUCAUGUGUCAUCUUUAUGAGGAAGGCAUCACCCCACAUGAGAGAAGAGUGAAAAGAGGCUGAGGACUGAUUCUGAUCUGGGAGAAAUAAAAGCUGAGGCAGGUGUGGAUUAGGGAAUUUGGCUUCUUCAAGGUUUUGCAUUUUCCAGCAGGACCCCUGGGAACCUGUUUCUAGUAGGGGAUAUAAUUGACAUCUGGAGUCCUAUUUGCAUGUGAGGUCAGUUUUUAGAUGCUGGAGAUAUUUAAACAUAUGUUCAGUCCAGAGGCACCUGGAGGGAACAGCAGCUUUCUGUGUUUGGAAAGGAUGUGGAGAAAGACAGCUUCAUGAUGCGGGGUGGCAUCAUGCCAGGGCAUCACCCUGGCACUUUUCGCCAGUUCAGCCUCCAUUUCUCCUCCUUUGCCCUCUGACAAUAUCUGGAUGCUCACAUGGGUGGUUUCAUUAGGGCAAGUUGAAUCUGUUGUUUGCAUUCUGAUUAGUCGCUGAUGGGGACCCAGGCUUGGCCCGUUGUCUGAGAUGCCCUUGUUUGAGACUUUGAAUCCUGAGAGAGUGACGAAACAUUGGGGAAAAUGGGUGGCAGUCACGCGUCUCAGCUGCUGUUCCCUAACCAGAUGCUGGCACCUUGAGAAGGCUCUCCUGGUUCUUGUUUCCAAGCUCCGGGAGAUGUCUUAGAUGUUCUUGUACCAGUUAGAGUUUGGGUGGCAGCUACAGUACUGACUGUGGCUUUCUUAAGUAAGAGUGAGGUCUCUCUCGGAAGGAUACGGAAACUAGACGUUGGUGGGAGGCUGGAGAACCAGAUUCGGAACCUGGGCACGGAUCAAGGCUGUUCUGGAGGGUUAAGAAAGAGGUAGUGUGAAAAUAAUAUUUCAGCGGAAAUAGUCCACCAGGACAAAUCGGCAGCUGCUGAGUGAGGCAUGCUGCCCGGCCCCCACGGCUUCCCUGCAAUUACUCCUAACUGUCCCUUUGUCUCUGUUCCUCUCUCCAGAUUCAGAGUCUCAGACGGGAGGGUGGGGAUUGCCAACCCCGAGUCACAUGUCUGCCCGCUGAUUGCCCGGAGCUGGGCAAGAAGAGGGAAGACCCUUCCCUGGCCUUUUGGCCUCUGUAGUUAAAGGUGAGGCAACUCACGCCACACCUGACGGCACUGCCCCAGAAUAAGAAAGCACAUUGGAUUCUAGGCAGCCAAAGCGGGGUGAGCCCACCUUGCUGCUGGGUUCCACUCUAGGUCUCCCCACCUUUGUAUGGAUUCUGCAAACUCCUAAGUUCUUUCUAAUAAAUCCUCUCUGUUGACCAACCAGAAUCCUGCAUCUUGGACUUAAAGGUCCCUAACUGAAGUAUGUCUCAUCGCUCCCACGUGAACUCUGUUGAGUGCAUCCUUGAAGUUUGAGAAUCUUGAAGUCUGGACUCCCAGUUUGCUCUUGUCCCAUUGGCUUGGUUGUAUAGGGAAAUAAAUAACACGCUUGUCUCUGGCUGACAGCAGUUUAACAAGGAUGCCCCUGAGGAACAUCUUCCACCUUCUUGGCCCAAGAGCCAGCUGUUCACACUGAGGUCAGAUCCCUGGCGCGUAGAUGUGGGGCCGUGGAGUGAGUCCUCGUGGCCAGUCCCUUCGAGUUUGGUCCACUUAAGCUUGAGUACUCUUCUUCAAAGAGCUCAUUGUUGCAGGGGUCGGUGGGGGGAGGCAAUUUCACAUGACAAUGAGCAUGACACCACUUUGCCCGAGGUGGGCACACCUUGCUUCCCCGCACUUCACUCUGCCCCGCUUUGCAGGUACUGAAGGUUUUUUUUACAAAAUGAAGGUUUGUGGCAAUGUGCGUCAAGCAGGUCUUUUCCCAGUAGCAUUUGCUCACUUUGUGACUCUGGGUCACAUUUCAGUAAUUCUCGCAGUAUUUCCUACCCCUCCGCCCCAUAAAAAGAUUAUGACUCACUGAAGGAUCAGGUGAUGGUUAGCAUUUUUUCUAGCAGUAAAUUACGUUUUAGUUACGAUCUAUACAUUAUACCACUUAUUAUUUAUAACUAAGAUGAUUGAUUUCUUGAAUAUGUGCAAGCACAUUUGACUGUCCUUUAUGACUGUGUUACCACAUUCUGUUGAUUC